UACGGAGGAUCCGAGCGUUAUCCGGAUUUAUUGGGUUUAAAGGGUGCGUAGGCGGGAGAUUAAGUCGGUGGUGAAAUUUUGCAGCUCAACUGUAAAAGUGCCAUUGAUACUGGUUUCCUUGAGUGUGGAUGAAGUAGGCGGAAUUUGUGGUGUAGCGGUGAAAUGCAUAGAUAUCACGAGGAACUCCGAUUGCGCAGGCAGCUUACUAAACCAUAACUGACGCUCAGGCACGAAGGCGUGGGGAUCAAACAGGAUUAGAUACCCUU
rnacentral:rRNA from 1 species